GAUGAAGAACGUAGUGAAAUGCGAUAAGUAAUGUGAAUUGCAGAAUUCAGUGAAUCAUCGAAUCUUUGAACGCACAUUGGGCCCGCCAGUAUUCUGGCGGGCAUGCCUGUCUGAGCGUCAUUUCAACCCUCAUGCCCCUAGGGCGUGGUGUUGGGGAUCGGCCAAAGCCCGCGAGGGACGGCCGGCCCCUAAAUCUAGUGGCGGACCCGUCGUGGCCUCCUCUGCGAAGUAGUGAUAUUCCGCAUCGGAGAGCGACGAGCCCCUGCCGUUAAACCCCCAACUUUCCAAGGUUGACCUCAGAUCAGGUAGGAAUACCCGCUGAACUUAAGCAUAUCAAUAAGCGGAGGA
rnacentral:misc_RNA from 1 species